rnacentral:ncRNA from 2 species
AUAAAUCACUGGGGGAGUCGAUGCAAAUCGGCUGAGAGGAGGCUUGAAGUCUCGACCCCUGGAACCUGAUCCGGGUCAUACCGGCGAAGGGAAGAUGAUGAAAUUUAAAA